ensembl:lncRNA
AUGUGGAGGUUUAUCUCAUACAGCUGCAGCACUAAGGCAGAGCACAGCAGACAUAUUACUGUGGCUUCCUGCUCAUGCAUGUCAGGUGUUAUGAGCUAUGAGACCACAUCUCUCUCUCUCACUCUCUCCCUGUCUCUCUCUCUCUCUCUCUCUCUCUCCCAGUCUCUCUCUCUCUCUCCCUGUCUCUCUCUCUCUCCCUGUCUCUCCCUAUCUCUCUCUCUCCCUGUCUCUCUCUCUCUCUCUCCCUGUCUCUCUCUCUCUCUCUCCCUCUCUCUCUCUCUCUCUCUCUCCCUAUCUCUCUUUCUCUCUCUCUCUCUCCCAGUCUCUCUCUCUCCCUCUCUCUCUCUCUCUCUCUCUCUCUCUCCCUGUCUCUCUCUCUCUCUCUCUCCCUGUCUCUCUCUCUCUCUCCCUGUCUCUCUCUCUCUCUCUCUCUCUCCCUGUCUCUCUCACUCUCUCUCUUCCUGUCUCUCUCACUCUCUCCCUGUCUCUCUCUCUCUCCCUGUCUCUCUCACACUCUCUCCCUGUCUCUCUCUCACUCUCUCGCUCUCUCUCUCACUCUCGCUCUCUCUCUCACUCUCUCCCUGCCUGUCUCUCUCACUCUCUUCCUGUUUCUCUCACUCUCUCCCUGUCUCUCUCUCUCUCUCUCCCUGUCUCUCCCUCUCUCACUCUCUCGCUUCCUGUCUCUCUUACUCUCUCUCUUCCUGUCUCUCUCACUCACUCCCUGUCUCACUCUCUCGCUCUCUCUCUCUCUCUCUCUCCCUGUCUCUCUCUCUCUCCCUGUCUCUCUCUCACUUUCUCUCUCCCUGUCUCUCUCACUCUCUCUCUUCCUGUCUCUCUCACUCUCUCCCUGUCUCUCUCUCUCUCCCUGUCUCUCUCUCUCUCCCUGUCUCUCUCUCUCUCCCUGUCUCUCUCUCUCUCCCUGUCUCUCUCACACUCUCUCCCUGUCUCUCUCUCACUCUCUCGCUCUCUCUCUAUCUCUCCCUGCCUGUCUCUCUCACUCUCUUCCUGUUUCUCUCACUCUCUCCCUGUCUCUCUCUCUCUCUCUCUCCCUGUCUCUCCCUCUCUCACUCUCUCGCUUCCUGUCUCUCUUACUCUCUCUCUUCCUGUCUCUCUCACUCACUCCCUGUCUCACUCUCUCGCUCUCGCUCUCUCUCUCUCGCUCUCUCUCUCACACUCUCUCUCUCUCACUCUCUCUCUCUCGCUCUCUCUCUCGCACUCUCUCGCUCUCUCUCUCACUCUCGCUCUCUCUCUCACUCUCGCUCUCUCUCUCACUCUCUCGCUCUCUCUCUCUCACUCUCUCCCUGCCUGUCUCUCUCACUCUCUUCCUGUUUCUCUCACUCUCUCCCUGUCUCUCUCUCCCUGUCUCUCUCACUCCCUCUCUCUCCCCGUCUCUCUCACUCUCUCCCUGUCACUCUCACUCUCUCCCUGUCUCUCUCACUCUCUCUCCCUGUCUCUCUCACUCUCUCUCUCCCUGUCUCUCUCACUCUCUCUCUCCCUGUCUCUCUCACUCGCUCUCUCCCUGUCUCUCUCACUCUCUCUCUCCCUGUCUCUCUCACUCUCUCUCUCCCUGUCUCUCUCACUCUCUCUCUCCCUGUCUCUCUCACUCUCUCUCUCCCUGUCUCUCUCACUCUCUCUCUCCCUGUCUCUCUCACUCUGUCUCUCCCUGUCUCUCUCACUCUCUCUCUCCCUGUCUCUCUCACUCUCUCUCUCCCUGUCUCUCUCACUCUCUCCCUGUCUCUCCCUGUGUCUCUCACUCUCUCUCUCUCCCUGUGUCUCUCACUCUUUCUCUCCUUGUGUCUCUCACUCUCUCUCUCCCUGUGUCUCUCACUCUCUCUCUCUCCCUGUGUCUCUCACUCUCUCUCUCUCCCUGUCGCUCUCUCUCUCCCUGUCGCUCUCUCUCUCCCUGUCGCUCUCUCUCUCCCUGUCGCUCUCUCUCUCCCUGUCGCUCUCUCUCUCCCUGUCGCUCUCUCUCUCCCUGUCGCUCUCUCUCUCCCUGUCGCUCUCUCUCUCCCUGUCGCUCUCUCUCUCCCUGUCUCUCUCGCUCUCUCCCUGUCUCUCUCGCUCUCUCCCUGUCUCUCUCUCUCUCCCUGUGUCUCUCACUCUCUCUCUCUCCCUGUGUCUCUAACUCUCUCUCUCCCUGUGUCUCUCACUCUCUCUCUCCCUGUGUCUCUCACUCUCUCCCUGUCUCACUCACUCUAUCUCUCUCCCUGUCUCUCUCUCUCUCUCCCUGUCUCUCUCUCUCUCUCCCUGUCUCUCUCACUCUAUCUCUCUCCCUGUCUCUCUCUCUCUCUCCCUGUCUCUCUCUCUCUCUCCCUGUCUCUCUCUCUCUCUCCCUGUCUCUCUCCCUCUCUCCCUGUCUCUCUCUCUCUCUCACUCUCUCUCUCCCUGUCUCUCUCACUCUCUCUCUCCCUGUCUCUCUCUCUCUCCCUGUCUCUCUCUCUCUCCCUGUCUCUCUCUCUCUCUCCCUGUCUCUCUCUCCCUGUCUCUCUCUCCCUGUCUCUCCCUGUCUCUCUCACUCUCUCUCUCCCUGUGUCUCUCACUCUCUCUCUCUCUGUGUCUCUCACUCUCUCUCUCCCUGUGUCUCUCGCUCUCUCUCGCCCUGUCGCUCUCUCUCUCCCUGUCGCUCUCUCUCUCCCUGUCUCUCUCGCUCUCUCUCUCCCUGUCUCUCUCCCUCUCUCCCUGUCUCUCUCCCUGUCUCUCUCUCUCUCUCACCCUCUCACCCUCUCUCACUCUCUCUCUCUCUCUCCCUGUCUCUGUCUCUGUCUCUAUGGAUUUCAAUUCAAUUUCAAUUUAUGGGGCUUUAUUGGCAUAGGAAACAUAUGUUUACAUUGCCAAAGCAAGUGA